rnacentral:tRNA from 1 species
GGGCUUAUGGUCCAACGGGAAGACACCGCUAUGGCAUGGCGGAAAUCCGGGUUCAAUUCCCGGUGAGUCCA